rnacentral:misc_RNA from 1 species
GCAAUUUGAUAUGGUAACUGAGCUUCAUUCAAAAUGUUAUUUAUCUGAUUGAUUGAUUCUUGUAACCACAAGGAGAAAACAAAAACUAUUAAAUGUAUUUUUUUAAGCUUCCAAACAAAAGGGUUAUUGACAUAGUCCUGAACAAAAUUACUCAACAUAGAGAAAAUUGAAAAGUGAAUUUAGCUCUGGUAUCAAUUAGAAGUAUCCCCGUUUCCUUUGCUUGGAAAGAAAUUCUGGUUCUGCUUUUUUAUUGCUCCUCUUGCUUGCUUCAUAACACAUGAAAGCUAUUCCAGCUGCAGGUACCAACUUCAUGCAGCUGGGACCCAGCCCUUUAUAUAAACCCUGGAUCCCUUCUUGUUCAAGUAUGCUUGCAUGUGCAUGAAGCACAUUCUUGUAUACCUGUCUUCCACCGAGAGCUCCCACUUGCAUAUGCUUGCGUGAAACCUCAAGUGGGAAAGUUGCACUACUAGAUAUAGCUCCAGCAGCUGAUCCAAUCAAAAGGGUUUCAUUGUUGCCAAUCUCUUCUUGCUUAAACACUUUCCGGUAGGCUUUCCGUAAUGUGUCAUAAGCAUAGAAAUUUGUGGCAGCAUAUGGAAUAACUCCAAUCAGGCUAGGCGCAAGGCCUCUAUAGAGUUCUGCAGGGCCCUCUUCUCUUAGUAUUUUUAAGAAUGCAUCUAGUAUACCGUUACAAACAUCCCUCUGCAAAUAAAAUGAACACUCGCCCUUAAAAAGCAACACACGUAUUCAAGAUUUAAAUUUCUAAGUCUAGGUUUUAUAUAUACUUGUAUGGUUAAUCGAGUCUUGACCAACUCAAGUGGAUACGUGACCAAAGUUGAGCUAACUCCAGCACAGGCCCCAGCAACUAAUGAGGCAGGAAUGGGAAGUUUAUGUUGCUCCCCCAGCUUGGCUGACAAGUUCUUAUUAACAGUGUCAUACGCAAACAGCCGUGAUGAGAGCAAAUUACUUGUAAGAUAGUAAUAGUAAGUAUUUGAAACUAGAUAAUUGCUCUGAAUGCAUAAAAUCAAGUGACAUGGUUUAUUUUUCUUCUCUUUCAACAAAACUACUGCAAAACAUGGUAGCAUGUACCAUUUAGUGUACAAUCAUUACUAAACUCCAUGAAACAAUAACAUCUUUUUAUCUGCAUAGAAAGUUGAACCAUGUGUAAACUUACUUGCAUCAAAAAAGAUCAAAAAAUUCAAUUGGAAAAUCAGUGUUUGUACGACCAUCAUCUCUAAUUAUAUGUGAGAUGAUUCAUGAACUAGGUCACCCUUUUUUACUGACAAAUUAUAAUAAACAAGACAGACUUAAUCCCAUCUCAAGACACACAUGCGUCCCCUAAUUUUGAAACGGAGAUAUUUGAAGCUACAUUUAGGAGAGGUCACAGCUACAUGCACUACUGUUGCUUCACAACUUGGUCUUGAAUGUUUAAACCUCUGUUCAUGACAAAUUCUCCAUGAAUUUAGAACUAAUUUUCAUUAAAUUUUAAAUACCAGAAUUGUGAAACUUUUUGCCGAGAAUCAAAUAAUUAAGCCAUCAAGUACAAUCACAUGAAUCACUAGGAAAUGGACAUUCAUACUUUAAACAUUAAAAAUUAAAAAGCAAAUGUAAACAAAAAGACAAAAACAAUACUGAAACAAAAAGCUAAUAAUGGUGAGAACGAAUUUACAAAUCAGGUCACAAAAAAAGGAUCUAUUCAGUUCCAUUUAUGAGCCAUCCGGUGUGGAUACUCAGCCAAAUAAGUGAACGAAUAACGACACGGAAACACACAAAAUAAGGAUGACAUCAAAGAAACAGAACCCGGAAAAUGGUUACACUAAGAAUAUAACUUACAUCGGACACUGAACAACAAAAUUGCAAAGAAUAAAUUAGAAAGUACACAUGGUUGCAGAACGGAUUGAUAAACAUUACCUAGCAGUGAAUGAUGACACGAUCAAUACCUACAAACAACCAUAGUAACCAACAUAACUCAUAGCAAGCAAUCAGUUAACAGCGAUGAAAAAUUAAAAUUUUGAAAGACUUUAUUACCUCUAUGGCUUUGCUUGGGGCAACUCGAAUCACAUUGACGAAAUUGUCUCUAAACAACCCCUUCCAUCCAUCGGUCUUCAUUAUAUUAUGGAACACCUCGGUGGUCGUGUGCCUACUGCUUCACACCAUCAAAUGAGUCCUUAUGGUCUCCAGCAGAGCAAUGGCAGUCCUUGAGACAGCCCCAGCUAUCCCUCCACUAAUUAACCGCCUUAACAUAGGAUUUUUAACCUUAAGCUUCAACUUGAGUCCGCCGUUCUUCUUCUUAAAGGUCCCUUCCUCCUCCUGGACUCUUACAAAAGACAAAUACUUGACACACAAAUCAGCAUACAGGGAUUUUAUGCUGCUAUUGUCACUGGAAUUUGGGAAGCCCAUUCCCAUUUGAUUAACGCUUGCAAACAUGCCUCCACCAGAAAGAUAUUGCCCAUCUUGAAAUCUCCACUGAGACCCCAUAUCAGAGAUUGAGAAAAAUCCAUCAUUUUUGUCAUCAAAAACCUGUAUUGCUUGCUUACCCAUUAAUCAAAAACUUUGUGAUUGAACUUUAUCUUAGGCUUUAGCAAAUCCUCAACCUGUUUUUCUCAUCUCCUUAGGAAGAUUGGGAGUGUUUGACAGGCAAAUAUUAGGUUUUGGGGGAUAUCCGAAAAAUCCAUUUUUGAGUAAAAGAAAAAGUACGUAAAAAGAAUUGAGAAAUGGAAGAAAGGGGAGCGCGGUUGAAGAAUCCAACAAUAGAAGACGAUGAAACCAAGGGAGAGGAAAUGGAAUGGCAAUUGAGAAACCUGGAUAGCAAGAAAAAGGCCGGGUUAUGCGAAGCUAACACACAUGCUCUGUCGCCGCAGCUCUCUCCCUCUCCUUCUCAGGGUUACAAAUGAGUUCAGUUGAUGGGCUGCAGGAGUUAGGUUCUGCAUUUGGGAAGGGAAUGCGACGGUUAAGACCCUCUCUUUUAGGCCUGGUGAACGAUAGGAAUAGCAACGGGUGGGUUUGGAACCCGUCCUCGCUCCACAAAAUAUGGGAAUUGGGGUGAGAAAGGAGGAGCGAAUUUCUUUGCAUGCAUUUUUUAAUUCUUUUUAUUUUUUAUUAUAAAAUAUAAAUUUAUUUAUUAAAAAAAUAAAUUAAUUAUAAAUAAAAAAAUAUUAAUAUUUAACACUUAUUGGAAAAAAUCCAAAAUUUUUAAGUUUUUUU